GCGCCGCUAGCUCAAUUGGCAGAGCAAGUGACUCUUAAUCACUAGGUUGAAGGUUCGAUUCCUUCGCGGCGCA
rnacentral:tRNA from 3 species